GAUGAACGCUGGCGGCGUGCCUAACACAUGCAAGUCGAACGAAGCACUUAAGAUUGAUUCUUCGGAUGACGGCUUUUGUGACUUAGUUGCCGACGGGUUAGUAACGCGUGGGUAACCUGCCUCCCACAGGGGGAUAACAUUUAGAAAUGACUGCUAAUACCGCAUAACCCGAUAGGAUCGCAUGAUCCAGGCGGAAAAGAUUUAUCGGUGUUGGAUGGACCCGCGUCUGAUUAGCUAGUUGGGGAGGUAACCGCCUACCAAGGCGACGAUCAGUAGCCGGCCUGAGAGGGUGAACGGCCACACUGGGACUGAGACACGGCCCAAACUCCUACGGGAGGCAGCAGUGGGGAAUAUUGCACAAUGGGGGAAACCCUGAUGCAGCGACGCCGCGUGAGUGAAGAAGUCUUUAGGUAUGUAAAGCUCUAUCAGCCGGGAAGAAAAUGACGGUACCUGAAUAAGAAGCCCCGGCUAACUCCGUG
rnacentral:rRNA from 1 species